GAGCUGAAGCGGAGGUGGGGGUGGCUGUUUAAGGUCUGCUGACGCGAUACGCCAGCCACUUUAUCACACAUUUUUAUAUUUGUACUUAAUUGAGGAGAAGGAAAAAAAAAAUGGGAAGCACAGUGAUGGAGUCCGGCAAGGAAAACUCAAAGAAAAUGAAGAAGAGGAGAAGUCUGCGGAUUAACAUGCCAGACUUCAGUACAUUUACUGCCCCGCAAGUGGAGACCAGUGGCUCAACCAAAAGUGGCACACAGACGGGAGAGCGCCUCGUUCGCUCGGCCAGCCCCACCAAAGGAGUUUCUGCAAAGAGCCCGACCAGUGUGCCCCCUUUACCCCAUUCUGCUCCAGUGCAAUCAAAAACCAAUCCAGCUUCACCCAAAACUAUCUUCCCCUACGCCUCACAUCCAAACUCCUCUCCGAAGUCUCCCCGUCGCCUCAGCUUUAGUGGUAUCUUCCGGUCCAAUUCCACAAAUGCAAGCAUAAAAAUCUUCUCCAGAGCCAAGAGAGCUUCUGGACUCUACACACCCCCCACCACGCCAACCCAGGCGUCCAGCCAGCCUGUGUUCACCCAGGAGGCUCAGCACAGCGGCCCCAGCCCUGAACGCCAGGAGCUGAGCUGUCGAGCUCGCUCUUUCUCCACCCCCCCAGAUACGGGACAGCGCCUCAGCCUUCCCUCUGCUAAACCCCCAAUCCCUUCUACCAGCCCUGUGCCACUGUUCUCUACCUCACAUCACGUCUACGGCUUAUUCGAAGGUAUGCUGGAGAAACUUGAACUAGAUGAUGAUGCUGCUGAGCCCGAGAGUGAUAUUUACAUGCGCUUUAUGAGAUCCCACAAGUGCUAUGACAUCGUCCCGACGAGCUCCAAGUUGGUCGUCUUUGACACAGCGCUUCAAGUUAAAAAAGCCUUCUUUGCCUUGGUGGCCAACGGAGUGCGAGCUGCCCCUCUUUGGGACACAGAGAAGCAAAGCUUUGUGGGAAUGCUGACAAUCACAGAUUUCAUCAUCAUAUUGCACAGAUACUAUAAGUCGCCGAUGGUGCAAAUUUAUGAAUUAGAAGAACACAAGCUUGAGACGUGGAGAGAGGUUUAUCUUCAAGCAACUUUUAAACCUCUGGUCAACAUAUCACCAGAUGCAAGCCUCUUUGAUGCAGUGUACACCCUCAUCAAAAACAAAAUUCACCGGCUGCCUGUCAUUGACCCUGUCACGGGGAAUGCACUUUAUAUUCUCACACACAAGAGGAUCCUCAAGUUCCUCCAGCUCUUCAUGUGUGAAAUGCCAAAGCCAGCUUUCAUGAAGCAGACUAUGGGUGAGCUGGGCAUCGGUUCGUACCAUGACAUUGCUUUCAUCCACCCGGACACACCCAUCAUCAAAGCACUCAACAUCUUUGUGGAGAGACGAGUGUCUGCUUUGCCUGUGGUGGAUGACUCAGGCAAAGUUGUGGAUAUUUACUCCAAGUUUGAUGUCAUUAACUUGGCUGCAGAGAAAACGUACAACAACCUGGACAUUACCGUGACCCAAGCUCUGAAACAUCGCUCUCAGUACUUUGAAGGGGUGGUGAAAUGCCAUAAAAUGGAAACGAUGGAGACCAUUGUAGACAGAAUAGUCAAAGCUGAAGUGCAUCGGUUGGUGGUGGUAGACGAGCAUUCAAGUAUCGAGGGCAUCGUUUCCCUGUCAGAUAUCCUCCAGGCUCUGGUGCUCAGCCCUACAGGUAUAGAUGCUCAACAUUGUUAGCUUCAACUCCCUUUCUAUCCUGGACCCUGAGCUCCCUCCCCCUCAUCUGCCCUCUAACUCUUCCCAGAUGCCUGUAAGGAGGAAAACCUGCCUGAAUGAGCGAGAUGUGCAUCAGCUUAUGUAGUUGGAGUAAAUGAUCUGAAAGGUGGAGGCUGGCAGGUGUGAGGCUGAGUGGAGCCAGAGCCAGUCUGAAGGUCCCAGAGACGCCUGCUAACGAUGCGCAACAAAGGCUUGGAAUCCAAGGAGGGAGUCCUGCACUGUCGGUUUAAUUUCUGAGUUUAUUUUCUGCUGUUUUGAACACUGAACCGACGCACACCCAUGACAGUAAAGACGCAGUGUAAAUUAUACAAACGCAUACAGAUCUAAUGUAUUACGGUUAGCUUCUGGGGAGUGUGCAGUUGCAGUGACGCUGCUGUCAUCGGAUGAUUUAAGUCGCAUUUUUACGCUUGAUACCUAUUGUUAUCACCUACCAGUAACCAUGAGCACCGUUUGGUAGCAGAAGUCCAGUUUAGUCCAGUUUACCCACAGUUAUUCUAGCACUUCUGACAUUUGUCAGUGCCAUUACAGACCGCUCAGUGCCCACUCUUUAUUUGUGCCUUUAAUUUCUAUUUUUUUAUUCUCCCCUGCCCCACAUCAGUGUGGUUCUUUUGGGCCACAGCUACUAACCUGGAAGAUGAUUUUUACUUUACACUCAGAUUUUCUAUAAUCGGGUCUAAAUCAUGUCAGAAAUCAAGGAUUUCUUUUGGGUCGGUUUAGCAGAGCUCAGAGGAAAGGUGAACAAUGUUGAGGGUGGUUGAGUUUGUCUCACUGAUUUGGUGAUUUUUACAAUCACUGUGACUUCAUAAUAAUGUUUUGUAAUGGUGAGAUGAGAUAGAUAAAUGCCUCUUGAGAGGAUACACAUUUUUACAUUUAUUUUUGGCGCUUCUGAUAAUUAUGAUACUCAAACAUGCAAAGCAACUGGUUUCUCACAGCUGUAGCUCAGCAGGAUCAUCUCCAUCUUUGGCUGUAAAUGGGAUUGUUGUCUGUUUUUUGUUGUUUUUUUUUUUUUUUUUUUCAAAACCGUGUCACAGAAAGCUUUAUUUUUAUGAAUGUGUCAACAUGUUUAAAGAGACUGCAGUUUGUUAUUUUUGUACAUAUAUUGUGGCAAUAUGUCUAGUUCAGAGAGAACUUGUAUCAAAUCAACAUGUACUGUAAAUGUGCAAGCAUGAGAAACUACACUUCAGCAGAAUGAAUGUUCUUUGUUUUACUUUUUCUAUUUUUCUGGCUGCAGAAAAAUAAACGGACACUGAAUGUA